GGGGGUGUUUUUGGUAUUCGAUGAGUAAAUGUUUGGAUAGAACCACAGCCGCGAAGGAACGCGUUAUAACCAAAAUCAAAUUAACUGCUAAAAAUAAAUUAGCUAACAUCUUUGGUGCAAACCAAAGCAUGGCUUUUGCUGCUUAAUUAGAGUCUACGUUUGACUUGCAGCCCCUUUAUUGAUCUUCGAUCUCUUUAUCAAUAUUGCGUGAAAAACUAAGAGACUAGUAGAUGGUAUUGAUUCGCUACCAUUUAUGAAAUACCUAGAAUCCCAUCAAUGAUGAAUUGUUUCCAUCCAAUUCCAUUGAUUAUUUUGAUGAAAAAAGCUGUAAACGUUGUAUCGUGGGACUUUGCUUAGACAGGAGUUCGACUCUCCUCACCUCCACCA
rfam:Firmicutes bacterium CAG:536 genomic scaffold, scf140